GACAGAGGGUGCAAACGUUGUUCGGAAUUACUGGGCGUAAAGCGUGUGUAGGCGGUCCGCUAAGUCGGGUGUGAAAUCCCUGGGCUCAACCCAGGAAGUGCACUCGAAACUGGCGGGCUAGAGUAUCGGAGAGGUUGGUGGAAUUCUCGGUGUAGAGGUGAAAUUCGUAGAUAUCGAGAGGAACACCGGUGGCGAAGGCGGGUCUCUGGGCAGUAACUGACGCUGAGGAGCGAAAGCGUGGGGAGCGAACAGG
rnacentral:rRNA from 1 species